UACGUAGGGACCGAGCGUUGUCCGGAUUCAUUGGGCGUAAAGAGCUCGUAGGCGGCCGCUCAAGUCGAAUGUGAAAACUCGAGGCUCAACCUCGAGCCUGCAUUCGAUACUGGGCGGCUAGAGUCUGGUAGGGGGAUCUGGAAUUCCUGGUGUAGCGGUGGAAUGCGCAGAUAUCAGGAGGAACACCAAUAGCGAAGGCAGCUCGCUGGGACGUUACUGACACUGAGGCGCGAAAGCGUGGGGAGCGAACAGG
rnacentral:rRNA from 1 species